rnacentral:lncRNA from 1 species
GCAAGAGUCCCUGUGCCUCGUAACGAGUGAGCAGGUGGCUAAGAUUAGACAGGACUCGGCAGAAGAGGAAACAUCUGGCUGCCUCUACAGAAGAGACUUUGCUCUCUUGGCCUCUCCAAGCUUUUCCCUCUAGCUUCUUAAUGAGAAGGCAUUGAAGAACCAGCUGAGAACCUGAAGAACUGGUGCCAGGACCACUGUGUAUAACAAGGAUUUAAAACAAGCCCUGAGUUCUUAUCACCUCUCAGUGCCUAAGAUCCCUGACCACCCAAGUCAGAAGAGCACAGCCCUGUCCAGUCCUACAUACCUGGAAUUUGGCCAACAAAGCACACUGGU